CGGGGGGUGCCCUAAAUACAUGCAAGUCGAACGAACUCUGGUAUUGAUUGGUGCUUGCAUCAUGAUUUACAUUUGAGUGAGUGGCGAACUGGUGAGUAACACGUGGGAAACCUGCCCAGAAGCGGGGGAUAACACCUGGAAACAGAUGCUAAUACCGCAUAACAACUUGGACCGCAUGGUCCGAGCUUGAAAGAUGGCUUCGGCUAUCACUUUUGGAUGGUCCCGCGGCGUAUUAGCUAGAUGGUGGGGUAACGGCUCACCAUGGCAAUGAUACGUAGCCGACCUGAGAGGGUAAUCGGCCACAUUGGGACUGAGACACGGCCCAAACUCCUACGGGAGGCAGCAGUAGGGAAUCUUCCACAAUGGACGAAAGUCUGAUGGAGCAACGCCGCGUGAGUGAAGAAGGGUUUCGGCUCGUAAAACUCUGUUGUUAAAGAAGAACAUAUCUGAGAGUAACUGUUCAGGUAUUGACGGUAUUUAACCAGAAAGCCACGGCUAACUACGUGCCAGCAGCCGCGGUAAUACGUAGGUGGCAAGCGUUGUCCGGAUUUAUUGGGCGUAAAGCGAGCGCAGGCGGUUUUUUAAGUCUGAUGUGAAAGCCUUCGGCUCAACCGAAGAAGUGCAUCGGAAACUGGGAAACUUGAGUGCAGAAGAGGACAGUGGAACUCCAUGUGUAGCGGUGAAAUGCGUAGAUAUAUGGAAGAACACCAGUGGCGAAGGCGGCUGUCUGGUCUGUAACUGACGCUGAGGCUCGAAAGUAUGGGUAGCAAACAGGAUUAGAUACCCUGGUAGUCCAUACCGUAAACGAUGAAUGCUAAGUGUUGGAGGGUUUCCGCCCUUCAGUGCUGCAGCUAACGCAUUAAGCAUUCCGCCUGGGGAGUACGGCCGCAAGGCUGAAACUCAAAGGAAUUGACGGGGGCCCGCACAAGCGGUGGAGCAUGUGGUUUAAUUCGAAGCUACGCGAAGAACCUUACCAGGUCUUGACAUACUAUGCAAAUCUAAGAGAUUAGACGUUCCCUUCGGGGACAUGGAUACAGGUGGUGCAUGGUUGUCGUCAGCUCGUGUCGUGAGAUGUUGGGUUAAGUCCCGCAACGAGCGCAACCCUUAUUAUCAGUUGCCAGCAUUAAGUUGGGCACUCUGGUGAGACUGCCGGUGACAAACCGGAGGAAGGUGGGGAUGACGUCAAAUCAUCAUGCCCCUUAUGACCUGGGCUACACACGUGCUACAAUGGAUGGUACAACGAGUUGCGAACUCGCGAGAGUAAGCUAAUCUCUUAAAGCCAUUCUCAGUUCGGAUUGUAGGCUGCAACUCGCCUACAUGAAGUCGGAAUCGCUAGUAAUCGCGGAUCAGCAUGCCGCGGUGAAUACGUUCCCGGGCCUUGUACACACCGCCCGUCACACCAUGAGAGUUUGUAACACCCAAAGUCGGUGGGGUAACCUUUUAGGAACCAGCCGCCUAAAAGGGGGCCCAAAU
rnacentral:rRNA from 1 species